GUGAGAGAGAGAGUGAGAGAGUGUUGCUGUGUGUUUGAGAGAGAGUGAGUAGAGAGUAGCCAAGCAGAGACGGAGAGAAAGGGAAAUAAAUGUUGAGGUAGACAGCCAGACAGUUGGAUAGGGAGAGGGAUAAAUUCAUUCCUAAAUCGACAUACUUACAGAACUGGGAAAUCGCCACAACAUCAAAUCACACAACGAAACAACACGCUUUCUCUCAAAGCUCUCUGUCCUGUUCUCUUUGUUUCGUGUAUUAUUCAGGAGGAUCCAGGACCUCACUCUUACUUCUCAAAAAAUAAGAGUUCCAGUUUGAGGACGUUGUUCGCCCAUCAGCAAAUGAUGCCCAAUUAGGGGAAAGCUGAGUAUUUCAAAGCAUUAUGACUGAACAGGGCCCAACUCUGCUUGGCUCUCUGACUUGAAUGGAAACAAUACAGCAACUUAGAGAAAGAAGCAACAACUCCACGUGCAAGUUUGUCACUGUACGACCAACCCAGGAUGUAAACCACUGUACACCACAACACACACACACUUCCAAAGCCAUCUGAUUGUGUUGUGUCUAUGUCUUUUCUCCUCCGUGGUGGAUAAGGGAUGGGGAAUGAAGGUGGGACUCUGGCCUGUGCUAUGAGAACAGUCAUGUGACAUGACAAGGGCAAGACAAAAAAAAAAAACAUGACAGAUCCAAAAAGAACAGGUAUAAAGACAUUGUAAACAAUAGAUAUAGAAUCUAAUAAUUCCAAUUAUAUGGUUGUAACUUGCUCGGAACAUCACAUUCUCCAUAAAACAAUGUUAAUAGUAUGAAAUAAUU
ensembl:lncRNA